CAACGAAUCUUCCGCAAUGCGCGAAAGCGUGACGGAGCAAUGCCGCGUGCAGGACGAAGCCUCUCGGGGUGUAAACUGCUGUCAGGGUUUAGCAACACAAUGAGCAGACCCAAAGGAAGGGCCGGCUAACUUCGUGCCAGCAGCCGCGGUAAUACGAAGGGCCCGAGCGUUGCGCGGAAUCAUUGGGCUUAAAGCGUACGUAGGUGGACAGACAGGUACCUUGUGAAAGCCCUCGGCUCAACCGAGGUAUUGCUUGGUAAACCGUCUGGCUUGAGGCGAGUAGGGGCUGCCGGAACGAUAGGUGGAGCGGGGAAAUGCGUUGAUAUCUAUCGCAACGCCAAAGGCCAAGGCAGGAAGCUGGGCUCGUUCUGACACUGAGGUACGAAAGCGUGGGGAGCGAACGGGAUUAGAUUCCCCCGUAGUCC
rnacentral:rRNA from 1 species